AUACAAUGGGUUGAUCUGUAGAAUGGAGUGAGCUGGACAAUGGGGCUACUCACCCCACCCACCUUGCAAAGUGAUGCAGGACAGGAAAUGGGUUAAUAGAAGCUCGGAUUUAGAAGAGUGCCUGGCACGCCUAAGGGCUCAAGCCGUCUGUGUAAUUAUCUUAAACUUUUUCAUUUCGGAAAUGAAACAGCUCCUCCCUUCACCGCCACCUUGGCUAUUUCUGGGACCAAAGGAAUCCUUGAAGCUGACCGGGCAGGAGAGUCCACGCUGGGAGUAAAAUCACUACAAACUGUCCAUCAGAAGGCCCCUGCUGAGUAGUUGGCAGGGUGGCUGCACAUAAUGGAAAGCACAUAAGCUUGAAGCCAGACAGAUGGGAGUUCUAACCCCAGCCCUGCCACUUAUUCCCAGGUGACACUGAUGAUGUCCAAAGAGAAGGGAGGAGGAAGGAUGAAAGGAAAGACAGAGGAGGAAGGAAGAGAAGAAAGAAGAGUGGCCGGCACAAGGGCUUGGAGAUCCCUGAAGCUGUUUUCCUUUCUCCUCACCCCCACAGGGAGGGAUCCACAUCGUUGUGGGGUUUUUGUUGUUGUUGUUUUUGUUUUUGUUUUUUUGCCUCCCUUCAUCAAAGCAUUCAUUGUAGUGUAUGGUAAUUGUCUCUGAAUGUAACAGCCUCUCUUCCCUGAGGCCUGGGUCUGCUUGUUUCAUACCAUCUUCUCCUUAACACACAGUGCUUGGUAAACAAUACCUAUUAAUAAACAUUUGUUGAAUGAAUGAAUGAGUGAAUGAACGAAUACUGCACUCUUUCG
rnacentral:lncRNA from 10 species